rfam:Firmicutes bacterium CAG:791 genomic scaffold, scf140
GCUGCGUUGGCUGAGUGGCCGAAAGCACCUGCCUUGAAAACAGGACAUCCACCAGGAUGCGCAGGUCCGAAUCCUGCACGCAGCG